ACUCAAAUGAAUUGACGGGGGCCCGCACAAGCGGUGGAGCAUGUGGAUUAAUACGUCACUAACCGUAGAACCUUACCCAGGCUUGACAUCCCCGGAAGUUUCCUGAAAGGGAGAUGUGCCUCGCAAGAGGAGCCGGGAGACAGGUGUUGCAUGGCUGUCGUCAGCUCGUGUCGUGAGAUGUUGGGUUAAGUCCCGCAACGAGCGCAACCCUCACCGUCUGUUGCCAGCGUUAAGUCGGGCACUCUGACGGAACUGCCCGGGUAACCGGGAGGAAGGUGGGGAUGACGUCAAGUCAGCAUGGCCCUUACGCCUGGGGCUUCACACAUGCUACAAUGGCCGGUACAGAGGGUCCCAAGACCGCGAGGUGGAGGCAAUCCCAAAAAGCCGGUCUCAGUUCGGAUCGCAGGCUGCAACUCGCCUGCGUGAAGUCGGAAUCGCUAGUAACCGCCGGUCAGCUAAACGGCGGUGAAUACGUUCCCGGGCCUUGCACACACCGCCCGU
rnacentral:rRNA from 1 species